rnacentral:rRNA from 1 species
GAUGAACGCUGGCGGCGUGCCUAAUACAUGCAAGUCGAGCGAGCGGACGAGAAGCUUGCUUCUCUGAUGUUAGCGGCGGGCGGGUGAGUAACACGUGGAUAACCUACCUAUAAGACUGGGAUAACUUCGGGAAACCGUAGCUAAUACCGGAUAAUAUUUUGAACCGCAUGGUUCAAAAGUGAAAGACGGUCUUGCUGUCACUUAUAGAUGGAUCCGCGCUGCAUUAGCUAGUUGGUAAGGUAACGGCUUACCAAGGCAACGAUGCAUAGCCGACCUGAGAGGGUGAUCGGCCACACUGGAACUGAGACACGGUCCAGACUCCUACGGGAGGCAGCAGUAGGGAAUCUUCCGCAAUGGGCGAAAGCCUGACGGAGCAACGCCGCGUGAGUGAUGAAGGUCUUCGGAUCGUAAAACUCUGUUAUUAGGGAAGAACAUAUGUGUAAGUAACUGUGCACAUCUUGACGGUACCUAAUCAGAAAGCCACGGCUAACUACGUG